ACACAUCGCUACCCUUGUCAAUGCAAGCACCUGUAGCCUCUGUUGGUGCCUUCACACUCUCGGGAGGUACAGCCGCCAAAGCCCUCACCACCGUGAUAGCUUCGCCGACGACUCAGUUGGUACCACAAGUUGAGUCAUCGUGGGCGGUGCGGUCAUGGUCGUUGGCGGAUCAUGCUUCACGCUUCACGAAGGUACGAGGCUUCUCUUGGCUGUCUAGUUGCUGAUGCCUGGAUGUCAUGGUAGGACAUCUGGGGCUGGAUGGAAUCUAAGACUACUUGCUCUGUUUUAUUGGUUUCCUUUCAUGCAAUGAAAUGAAAUCGGGGGCAUGCCCAUCAAUUCAAAAAAAAAAAACGCCUAGGAGGAGGCUCCUGCCUUCGUGGAUGUCGCAGGUUGCGUCCUCCACCCAUGCCUCCACCACCACGGCCCCCACGGAGCACCAUCCCCCCUUGUCGAGGAGCAUAGCGUUGUGGCCCUGCCGGACCAUGGACAAAGCCUCCCGUCGGCCCUUGAAAUUCCCGGCCGCCGUGGUCACUCCCGGUGUUGCCGCGCCCUCCGGCGGAGGACGAGCCAUAGAAGGAGUUGUGUGCAGCGGCAACGAACCCAUCUUGCUGAUUCCCCCAGAACUGUCUACCCGCACCUCCGGCGUUCCUGCCAUAAACUCCUCCACCGCCGUAGCCACGCCCCUGCCCUGGUUCCCGCCGCGGCCAGGAACAACAGCGCCGGCCGUCCGGGUACCCGAGUUGGCGACAACAGCCUGUGUUUUGAAUUUUGGCGCUAAAAAAUAGACUUCACCCAUCUCGGCCUGGGGCAGAAAAUAUCUUUUGACGAAAAACUAGAAUUUGGUAAAAUUUCAGACAUUUUUUGGUAAAAAUUUGGUCAAAUUUGCCGAAAUUUUUGAAAGCCUGGGGCGAAAAAAAUUCACAAACCGAAAAUCAAAACCUUGGCAGCAGCUUGCACGUUUUGAUCUUGCAAGUUGUGCGGCGGCGGCUGUGCUUGGUUGCCGUGGCCUGAAGCCAUGACGACGAUCGCGUAGGAGCGCAGAUCCCCUGCCGCCGUAUGAACCCACGUCCUCGAUGCUCGCUGUAUCCCACUGCAAAGAACUCACAGAUGUGAUCCGAAGUCGUCGGAGACCGCCCUUCAUCGUCAUAGGCAUCCUCCUCGGAGUCCGCCAGCGCCCAGAAUUUCCCCCCUACGCGCCGGGGAGGUCCCUCGUCGUCGCCGACGUCCCCACGCCAAGGACGACAUGGGGUCGCUCACAGUCUUCACCAACGAGCAUAGAGUUCCUUUCACCAUUGACCUGCCUGUGGAUCCCCCUCCCUGCAGCAGCCCAUGGAAGAUGUCGCGGUGGUGGGCGAGCUGAGCAGGUUGGAGUACCAGCACGGCGCCACAACAAUUUGCCGUCCUUCCGGAUGGAGGACCUUCCCGUGGUAAUAAGUGGUAACUUCCAUUCCGUCAUUUUAAUUCCUCUGUCUCCCCCCAUUCCAUUACAGCAAGGGAAAUAAAGUGUUUACUGAUAUGGACCUCUUGGGCAACAAAUGUUUGAUCUUUGGCGUGAUGUUUGUUGUGCUCUGCUCUCCACGGAUCUGAAACUCUUGGGCAAAAUGUUUGAUCUUCUGUUCAAAUUGUUGCCUAGGGGUUUCAACGAUUGCUCACUUCAUGAGCUUUUUUUAGCUGCAAAAUGACAAUUGUAGUAAAAACACUAAACCUUUAUUUGUUUGCUGAACACUGAACCUUUAUUUGUUUGCUCAACACCCAACACUGAAUAUAUACAUAUAGUACUCCUAUAGGCCAUGGACACUAAGCCUUGAUUCUACUGAAAGCACAAUGACAAUGACAAUACACUGCAAAAACACUGAUCAGUAAAUCCCAGUUCAGUAGUGAAACACUGAACCUUUAUUCUAGUGAAACACUGCAAAAACAGGAUUUGCUGAACCUUUAUUUAUUUGCUGAUUCAAAUAGCCAGCAGAAACUUUA